rnacentral:rRNA from 1 species
GAUGAACGCUUGCUGUGUGGAUAAGGCAUGCAAGUCGAGGGCCCAGUUUACUGGGACCGGCGAACGAGGUAGUAACACGUAGGACUACAUACCCCAAAGUCGUGAAUAGCCUAUCGAAAGGUAGGGUAAUACACGAUAUCUCUUCGGAGGAAAGAUUUAUCGCUUUGGGAAUGGCCUGCGGGAUAUCAGCUAGUUGGUAGUGUAAUGGACUACCAAGGCUACGACGUCUAGGGGAGGUGAGAGCCUGACCCCCACCGAUGGGACUGAGACACGGCCCAUACUCCUACGGGAGGCCGCAGUCGAGAAUCUUCCACAAUGGACGAAAGUCUGAUGGAGCGACACAGCGUGAUCGAUGAAGUGCUUCGGUAUGUAAAGAUCUUUUAUUAGGGAGGAAGUUUAUUGACGUUACCUAAUGAAUAAGGGGCUGCUAAUCACG